UAACUGCGAUAAUUAUCAUGAAUUGCAGAUUCCCGGGAGCUGACAAGUUUUUGAAUGCAAAUUGCGACUCACGCUUGCCGUUGAGUCCCAUAAGGCACAGUGACGCUUCCAAGUAUAAUCAUGUGCGAGCGAUCGUGCAUUUGCCCAUUUGAGGUUGUUGACAUCGCUUUGGCGUUACGACUGCCUUUAAAUCCAGGGUUUGAAAUCUGUCUUUGCUUUUGGUUAUUAUUCCUCAGGGAAUGGUCCUCUGCAUUGCCAGACAUUCGGCUCGCGUCCAGAACGCAUAAUGAAGAUGCACUCCUGGUGCUGUCUUCCCUAACGUCCUGUGCUUUGUGUGAUCACCCGCUGAACUUAA
rnacentral:misc_RNA from 1 species